CCUGCAGCAGGGGAAAGCGUGUGACUGUACUUGUAGCCACGAGGCUGUGAGAUGAUGCCCUACUUCCUAGUGCUGAUGAGAAAGACCCAGCUUCUCCCCACGGCUUCCUAAGACGAUGUAACCCCGGCCUAGAGGAGGCGAGGUCUUUCCUGCAUCUACUCUGCCUGUCUCUGCAGCAGAUGCUCUGCACCUUUCUCCUUGCAAAUGCAGGGGGUGUUGGGGAUUUAGCUCAGUGGUUGAGCGCUUGCCUAGCAAGCGCAAAGCCCUGGGUUCGGUCCCCAGCUCCGAAAAAAAAAAAGAAAAAAGAAAAAAAAAUACAGGGGCAGUCACAGUGGACUCACUUGGCUUCCUCCAGCUCCUCCGUCCUCUGUAUGGCGUCCGUCUCAUACUUGGUCCUCCACUGGGCCACCUCUGAGUUGGCCUUGGACAGGACACGCUGCAGCUCGGCCUUGGCCUCCAUUUCUUCUUCGUACUGUUCCCGCAGCAGGUCGCAGUCAUGCCGGGCUGACUGCAGUGCGUGGGCCAAGGCAUUCUUGGCCUGGGAAGAGGUGGGCACUGAGAAGAUUGGAGCAAACCCAGACCUCCAGUCUCUACUGUCUGUUUUCUUCAGUCAAGACCCAGACUCAUCCACAUGACACGAUUUUCAUUUGCCUACCUCUCUCCCUUACAGAUAAGGAGUCAUUAAACGACCAGGAGGGCUGUUUAGCAGGAAGAUAGGUUAAUAGGUUAUGUCUCGCAUCCAGGUGUGCUUCUGGUGGUAACUGUGCCCAGGGAUGCCACCAAGCCUGUCCCACUGGACCUCACCUUGCCUUCCUCCUCCAGCUGCCUCUUGAGGUCCUCCAUCUGCUGGGUAUAGGAGAGCUUGCCCCGGGUCAGCUGGGAAAUCAGUGCCUCCUUUUCUUCCAGUUGCCUAGCCAGCUCGCCUGGAGGUAGAAUGAAGGUUUCUUGGGGCAUGGGAGCGGGGAAACCAAAGCUACUCGGGGCAGGCGAGGGGAUGGUCAGGGGCACCCACCGUUCUCUGUCUGCAGCUUGGCUCGCUGUGUGGUGAAGUCAUUGAGGGAGCGCUGGGCUUCUUCCAACUUCACCCGGUAUUCAUUGGCCUGGUCCUCCAGUGUCCGGGACACUUUCUCCAGGUUUGCCUUCAGGCAUUAACGAGCAGAUGAAAGGUGAAUGUGGGAGGAGCCAGGGCUGGCAGGGAAAGGGGGGUGUGGACCCCCCCGACCAGAAGAAGGGAAAGAGGGCAAGGAUGGGGGAGUGCUCAGAGGACAGGCAAGAGGGUGGGAUAGAGUAGAAAGGACUCAGUCUGAAGAAGGAAAUGCAUUAAAGAAAGAUUAGUAGAUAAAUGUGGGUGAAGGCUACGGAGAGGCAGGGUAGACAGGAGGUGAAGGCCAAAGGGCACUAAAGGGCAAGAGAUGGUACGGCUGUGAGGGGAAGUGGGGGUGCUGAGAAGGCCCACCUUGGCCUUGAUGAUCUGCUCCAUGUUGGAGGUGACGUCAUCCAGCUCCAGUUUGAACUCGCUCUUCUCUUUCUCCAGCUUCUGCUUCACCCGCUGUAGAUUGUCUAUCUGCUCGCCCAGCUCGGCCACGCUGUCUGCGUGCUUCUUGCGCAGGGCCGCGGCUGUGGCCUCAUGCUGCAGCGUGGCCUCCUCCAGGUCCCGCCGCAUCUUCUGGAACUCGGCCUCGCGCUUCUUGUUCAUCUCUAUCUGCACAGAUGUGGCCCCACCGGCUUCCUCUAGCCUCUCACUGAUCUCCUCCAGCUCCCGGGUCAGGUCUGAGCGCAGCUUCUCCACCUUGGCCCGGGCUGUGCGCUCGGCCUCUAGCUCCUCCUCCAGCUCCUCGAUGCGUGCCUAGUCAGGGACACAGAGGUUCAGACCUGCUUCCUGGACCCUCCAUUGAGGCCCCUGCUCCAGGGCUCUAAAAGGCUCCCAGAUCCCUAGCAUUGGUUUUCAGCCUCUAGGUAUAGCUAGCAACGCCUGGAGACGUUUUAAACUGUGCCAUAGUAGCUGUACGUAGAUGAAGCAAGGGGUGCUGACUCUAGAAUAGACUGACCGUCAUUAGGAAAUUGACCGAGGCCAAAGUUUAGAGGAUUUUUCAAAAACAUCUGAGACUCAGUUUGAGCAUCUGUAGCCUAAGUGUUGGGCAUUUGUGCUUGGAGUGCGAUCCUGAGACCUCCUGAGAUUAUGAACCCACGGUUUCACCUGACUCUGCUCCACUAACUAUAAGGCAAGGAAACAAGCACUCGUUUUUACUAACACUUGCAGCAAAGCUGCCUCGAGAGUAAUCAAAUACUAUCUGAGCUAACCAUGAAGUCCACUCAACUGUAUUCCCCACACUUCAUGGCUUCCUUGGUUAUGCUCCAGCUCAGACUGUAACUUGAUUGCUCCUUUCCAAGGCAGGCUUGUGUACCAACAACUUGCCCUCUUCUUCAUGCUCCUACCUCAUUGUUGUGGCCUUAGUCUUGGUCUUGACUAAAUCUGGAGCGUGCUCAUCUGCCAUUUUGGUCUUUGGUCUCUACAGGGAAGAUUUGUGGGAUUCUACUUUUUGGCACAAUGGGUAACUUUACCAUAGAGCAGAUCCUGGGGUAGGAAAGAGGGGACCUAUACUUCUACUCGGAGAAGGUAGGACUUGAAACACAGACCCUACUCAGAAGAAGGAGGUGUUAUAGCCUAGUGCCAAGACUCGGUGAAAAUAACAACAUUAUUAUAUCCUGGAGGCCAAAGAACUUGCCCAGAUUUGUGGCAGAAGACCCAGGGGGAUGGCUCAGCAUUCUGGGUUCAAUUAAAAAAAAGGUGUACCCAAGAAGAUGGGGAAACAAACCACACACAUGAGCACAGGUAAGCCUCAGUUUACAGCCUUCCUGCCAGCGUCCAGGUGAGAACAGUAUGAGGGAGGCUAGGUGACUUACUCCAGGGAGUGGGAGUUAACUGUAUUCAGGAAUGCCUGUGGUUCUCAGCCUGUGUGAGAGGGCGGGCUUAGCACUCAAGAACUGUGAACAGAGAAGCUCCUGGGAAGAGGGUUUGCCUCAACCCUGUGCUGAGAGGGAAGAGAGGAUUGGAGGAGAACUGAGCCCUCUCAGUUGUUCCACAACAGAAAGUCCAACAGGCAGAGAGCAUCUUGGGGAAAAGAAGCCCUAUUAGUAGGCAUGAUUCUCCCCCAAAACAGCUUUGCUAAGAAGAUGACAUAGUCUUGCCCAACCGUGGGAAGGCUAGCGUUCCCGUAUAAGGAGUGCUUGGGUCCUGGGCUGCCUGGAGUCCCAGACAUUGUCUAGAACCUCAAACACCCCCUACAGCCUCCGGCUCUGAGCUCCCUUCGGCCACCCUGGGAAGUAAUCACCUGGUUUUCCUUCAGUUUCUUCUGCAGCUGAAGGGCCAGGGCCUGCUCAUCCUCUAUUUUACUGUUCUGCUGACUGAUGUCAAACUCUUUCCUGGAGUAGAAGGGACGCGUAAGUGAUGGUCGUCCUUCCUCUGGGCCUGUCUUUAUCACUCUAUGCCAGAACCAGCCCCCCAAAACCUGGCUCAGACAGCAAUGGGGUAGAGCCUUGACUGCCCUCACUUUCAGUGUGCCCAGGGAAGUGAAGCCAGCAGAAGUGUAGCACUCAGUGCCCUGGCUACCAGGCCAGAAACACCCCUUGUCACCCCUCCAGCCCCCGCCCACCACAGAGCAUACUUCUUGAGCUUUUCCUCCAGCUGAAGCUUGUCGUUCUCCAGGUCCAUGAUGCUCUCCUGGGUCAGCUUCAGGUCACCCUCCAGCUUCCGCUUUGCUCGCUCCAGGUCCAUGCGCACCUUCUUCUCCUGCUCCAGGGAUCCCUCCAGCUGGCAGAGAGAAUUAAAUGAAUAAGGUGCUGGAAAGACUGGGAUUCACAGUGUGUGCCUUAGUCUUGUCCUGACUGAAUGUCCAUGGGGGUUGGUACUUGGAGAUUUGCCUGACGAGGAAUCACAGAGAGCGGAGAAGCUCCCCGGGUCGUAGGACUUAGAUGCAGAGGGGGAGAUUCCUCACCUACAGGCGUUGGCUAUGAAGUCCUGAUCUGAGAAGGAUGGAGCAUAGCUCUCACCACUUACAUCAUCCACCUGCUGCUCCAGCUUGACUUUAGACUUGAUCAGUGUGUUGACCUUGUCUUCCUCAGCCUGAAGGUCAUCUAGGGCUUGCUGGUGGGCCUCUUGAAGAGCUUUCUUCUCCUUGGUCAGCUUGGCAAUGAUCUCGUCCAGCCCGGCCAUCUCCUCUGUCAGGUUUUUAACCUUCCAAGAAAGAAUAAACAUCAAUAAAUAAGUCCACAUAGCUUUUGAGGAUCAAAGGGUGCCAUCGUGCAGACACCUAUAAAGGCGCUACCAACUACGCCCAUACUCUGGUCUGGAAAUCAGAAGGAGCCGGCCUCACCUUGUUCUCUGUUGCGUGCUUUUCCUUCUCCACCUUGGCCAGGGUCAGCUCCAGGUCAUCGAUAUCUUUCUUGAGCUCUGAGCACUCGUCUUCCAGCUUGCGCUUCUUGGCCGUGAGCUCGGCGUUCAUCUCCUCCUCGUCCUCCAGCCUCUCGGUCAUCUCCUUCACCUUGGCCUCCAGCUGGAUCUUGUUCUUGAUCAGCUGGUCGCAGCGCUCCUCGGCAUCUGCCAGGUUGUCUUGUUCCUGGGGGCGAGGGACAGGAGUCAAGGAUCAAAGAGAUUAAAGAGAGGGAAGAUGCAGGGUCUGGCAAAGGGCUGGAGCUUCCAGAUUCCCAGACUCUGGGGAUGAGGUGGGCAAAGGAUCCAGGAGACAGGAAAGGAGAGAGACGAGAGAGCCAUGUGGCCUCACCGCCUGCACUUGGAGCUGCAGGUCAUUCUUCUCCUGCAGCAGGGACACCAUCUUCUCCUCCAGCUCCUUGCGGCGAGCCUCAGACUUCUCUAGUGCAUCUUUGACUCGCCCGAACUCCUCCUUCAUGUUGGCCAUCUCCUUC